AAAAAUGUAUUUGUAGCGCUCUCAUGUGUUCGAUUCUUUCCAGAUAUUUUCAAAACUUCUAUCAUAGAUUAAAUCAGUAGUAUCUGUUACAAAAUUGUAAAUCAGUGACGACCAAUUAUUAAUAAAAAUUAUGUCCUUUGGAAAUAUUGAUUAUAUUGAAAAUUGAUAGUUCCUUAGAUAAAAGCUGAGCUGUUCAAGAAAUCGUUUCUUAAACUCCUUAUGUGUUUAUUGGUACACGCAAAUCAACAUAAAGCAAUAAUCAAUAUAAUACAACACUCAAAUCAUAAAAUGGGAGUAGCCACUUGCAAAAGAUAAGUACUAUUUUAUUCAGAUAAUAAGUACACGAAUUCUUUUUAUA
rnacentral:lncRNA from 1 species